AGAGUUUGAUCCUGGCUCAGAAUCAACGCUGGCGGCGUGCCUAACACAUGCAAGUCGAACGAAGUAGCAAUACUUAGUGGCAAACGGGUGAGUAACACGUAGUCAACCUACCUUUAAGUGGGGGAUAACUAGCCGAAAGGUUAGCUAAUACCGCAUGUGAUCUUUGAGAGGCAUCUCUUGAUGAUCAAAGCAGCAAUGCG
rnacentral:rRNA from 1 species